rfam:Oryza sativa (indica cultivar-group) chromosome 1, whole genome shotgun sequence.
AAAUAAUGUAGUUUUAUAUUAUUUAUGUCUAAUGUUUGACCAUUUAUUUUAUUAGAAAUUUUUUAUGAUAAAUAUUUUUUAUUAUAUGAUAAAACAUAAAUGGUACUUUAUGUGUGACUAUUUUUUAAUAAUAAAAGUAUAUAAUUUUUUUAAAUAAGACAGACGGUCAGGUUAGACACAAUAUAUACGGUUGCACUUGUA